UACAGAGGUCUCGAGCGUUGUUCGGAUUUAUUGGGCGUAAAGGGCUCGUAGGCGGUCCGUCGCGUCGGGAGUGAAAACUCAGGGCUCAACCCUGAGCGUGCUUCCGAUACGGGCGGACUAGAGGUAUGCAGGGGAGAACGGAAUUCCUGGUGUAGCGGUGGAAUGCGCAGAUAUCAGGAGGAACACCGGUGGCGAAGGCGGUUCUCUGGGCAUUACCUGACGCUGAGGAGCGAAAGCAUGGGGAGCGAACAGG
rnacentral:rRNA from 1 species